AAGCAUUUGGCCUCUAUAACCCUUAGUGACAGACUUUAUCUUUGGCUCUAUAGUGCCUUGUACAACCAUAACUUGUACACAGGUGCUUAGCAGUUAAUUAUUGAUCACAUCAGGAAAAGAAAAUAACUCUUUAUCUACCUCACAGAGGUUUUUUGAAAGUGAGAUGAAUAGAAAAGUAGCUUUCAUAUUCAUUAUGUAAAUAAAUGUAUCAUUAUGUAAAUGCAAUGGAUUAUUUUUACUCAUCUAGUGAUGAGUACCUUUCUGAAAGCAGUAUUUGGUUUAAGUCCUAUUAGUAUUGAUUUG
rnacentral:lncRNA from 1 species